UUCCCGUCUUAUCAAAUCAUCUGCCAUUUCUUCUGUGGGACGUUUUCAAAUUCCAAUAGAGGCCUUUUCACCGAACCUUUUGAGUUCCACAUUUCAGCCUCUCUAUUCUUUCUCCUCCAUUUCACCUUCAAUCUAGUUCUCUCGUCUUUUCUUUUUCCUUCAAAUUCUCAGCAUACUCAAGGACUCUUCCUAGCAGGUAAAUCUCGUCCUUCUUCUUUAAUGUCUCCGUUGCUAAUGUAUGUGCCAGGCUAUUCGCUGUUCUUGGAUGUGCUCAAAACAAUAUUUUUUAGAUUUAGCCAGUAGCUGAUGAAUAUCUUGGAUAUAACUUUUUAUCUUGCACUUCUUUAUAAUUGAUAAUGCAUCCCCUUCAAUGAUGAUAUUUGACCAUUGCCUGUAUAUACCAAUUUGAGUUGCUGUCCGGCAAGCAAUUGCUUCGGCAGCAAAAGCUAAUGCGACUUGGUGAUAGAUCUCUAUGAAUGAUAAGAGAACGUUUCCUUCACUAUCCCUAGCCACAAUCCCCAUAGCCGAUUGACACAGAUUCCCAUCAUAUGCUGCGUCAAAGUUAAUCUUCACAAACUGACCAGGUGGGUGUUUCCACUUUCUAACUCCUGUUAAAAUCUUUGGUACUUUUUCUUCAAUCCUAUUAAGUUCAGAAAUGUAUCUCUUAAUAAAACUUGCAAUCUCUUUCCCAUAUUUGUUGGCCUUCUCAUGAACUCUCUUGUUCCUUUCUCCCCUGAUUGCCCAAAGAGCACAACAAAAGAUCCUGCACCGAGAGGGGGUAUUCUGUUCAAAAACCCAGGUGAGCCACUGUAUAAAUUCCAUAUGAGAUACUUGUAAUAACUCCGAGAAUGAUAACUCUUUCCAUACUAAUAUUACAUCAGGACACUCACAGAAUAGAUGAUUCGUGGUUUCUACUGCUCUCCCACACCUAGAACAGAUUACGUUGUUUAAUAGCCUUUUGUGCUGCAAGUUAACCCAUGUUGGUAGAUAAUUCCAUGAUAUUCUCCAAACUGUAAUUUUUAACUUAGAAGGUUAGAUUAAGAAGCCAAAGAUUUCUGUAAAAUUUCCUAUACUCGUUUUGUAAAGCAUAAGCUCUAGGAUCAAUUUCAAUGCCUUGUAAUAGUUUAUAGGCACUUCGCACCGUGAAUUCUCCCGAAGACUCCCCCCUCCAGGUCAGAAAAUCAUUGUGAGGCUCUUUUGCUAACGAAUGCGGAGAAUCUUCUCAACUACCUCCACUGGAAAGUUAGAAUCUACCAACUCUUUUUUCCAUUUUUUGUUGAUAUCAUAAAUUAAUUCUGCAACUUUAAAGUCACGCAAAUUAUUAAUAUGAGAUGAUAAUCUGGAAUAAUUCAAAUCUAGUAUCCAACCAUCAUUAAUAAUUGAUAUUUCAGUACCCUUCCCCACUUUCCAGCAUAGUCCAUCUGUUAGAAUGCCUUUAGUUGCCCAUAUACUCUUCCAUGUGAAAGAACUAUUACUCCUUAGGCGCGAAUUUAAAAAAUUCGUUUCUGGAAAAUAUUUAGCUUUUAAUACUUGUGCAACUAACAAAUUAGGAUUAUUUAGGAUUCUUCAACCUUGUUUAGCUAAUAAGGAGACGUUAAAACUAGACAUAAUCCUAAAGCCCAUUCCUCCAUCUUCUUUGGAUCAACACAUACACUGCCAUUUACACCCAUGAAUUCCUCUUUUCCCCUGUGCCUUUUUCCACCAGAAAUUAGCGAAGAUCCUUUCCAGUUCUCCACAUAGGGAAUUAGGAAGAAGGAAAGAGGACAUGGCGUAGGUUGGAAUAGCCUGAAGUAUUGAUUUAAUGACUAUUUCCUUGCCUCCUUGUGAUAAUAAUUUGGUACUCCAACCUUUAAUUCUGGAAUUGACCUUAUCUUUUAGAUUUUGAAACGACUCCUUUUUACGUCUACCAACCACAUUAGGAAGACCUAAGUACUUUUCCAUAUAUGUUGACCCUUUUACCCCUAAGCUUGUUAAUACUUCACCUCUUUUUUCUAUUGAUGUAUUCGAAUUGAAAAAAUUGUAGAUUUAUCAAAAUUAACACACUGGCCAGAACAUUCUUCAUAUUCUUUUAGAAUUCUUUUUAGCAACCUUGCUCCCUUAUUUGUUGCUUCACCGUACAGUAUGCAAUCAUCUGCAAAAAGUAAAUGUGAAAUCCCUGGUCCUUUUCUACUUGCCUUUGUUCCUUUUAUCAGACCCUCUUUUAUUGCCAAUCUCAUUAAUGCUGAAAGUCCCUCACUACAUAAUAGAAAUAAAAAGGGGCUAAGGGGUCCCCUGACACAACCCUCUAGAAGAUUGAAAAAUCUGUCCCCUUCUUCCAUUAGUAUUGACUGCGUAAGUUGCUGUAGUAAUGCAUUUCAUAAUUAAAUCAACCUAUUCUUUUGCAAAACCCAUUCGCAACAUAACUUCCUUAAGAAAGUCCCACUCGACCCUAUCAUAGGCUCUGCUCAUGUCAAGUUUAAUUGCCAUAUAUCCUUUCUUUCCUAUGCAUUUUCGUUGAAACAUGUGUAGGAUCUCGUAAGCAGUAAAAUGUUAUCAGAAAUUAGCCUACCUGGGAUAAAAGCACUUUGCGUCACAUCAAUACAUCUUCCUAUAACCUCUUAAAGUCUAUUGGCAAUUGUCUUAGCCAUAAUUUUGUAGAGAACCGUACACAAACUUAUAGGUCUGAAUUUUGUUAAGUUUGUAGGGUUCUGGGUUUUUGGAAUCAGUACAAUAUUAGUUGAAUUGAGAGGGCCAAAAUUUUUACUGUUAUUUAAAAUUCUUAGAAAGUAAUGACUUCCUUACCUACUAUAUGCCAAUAUCGUUGAAAAAAUAGUGCUGGAAAUCCAUCAGGUCUUAGUACUUUAGUUGGCUUCAUUACUUUCAAAGCUGAAUACACUUCUUUCGUAAAAUUUGACACUAAAACUUCAUUCAUAUUUGGCGAAAUUUUUUCCUCAAUGUCCGUUAAGAGAUGAGAUAGCUCUCCCACUCCUUUUGACAUAAAUAACUCCUAAAAGAAUAAAGUAGCAGCUUCACUGAUCUUAUUUAGUUCAGUAGCCUCUCCUCUUCCGUCUAACUGUAGCCUCAAUAUAGUGUUUUUUCUACGAAAUGAGGCGUACUUAUGGAAAAAAGUUGUAUUCUUGUCCCUUACUUUAAGUCAAUUCGCCCUUGUCCUCUGCUCCUAUAACAGCUCAAUUUUGGGCCUAGUCGAAACAGUAGUUUCGGGACCACAAAUUUGAUGAGGAAAAAAAUUUAUUUUUAUUAUAUUUUAUGGUCUAAGAUUUCAUGGAAUGAUUUUUUUAAAUUUUUUUUUGAAAAUUUCGACGUUUCGGCACUCAAUUUAGUAAAAAAGAUUAAAUUGUAAAAAAAGUAAAAGUUGAGUUCUACAUGAUAAAAGUGUCCAAUUGUUAUGAAAUUUUAAAUUAGAAGUCCUUAAAUAGAAAUUAGACCAUUUUUAAAUUUUUUGGAAAAAAUGGACAUGAGAUAAGUGAAAUAGGAUAUUUUUAAGUUGGGGACAUUUUGGUCAUUUAGUAAUUAAAAGAAUUAAAAAGACCAAAAUAACCAAAUAUUUUUCCAUCUUCAAGCCUUGGCCGAAUUUCAAAAGGGGGAGCCAUAGUUAGGGUUUUCAAGCUUCCAAGUUCCAUAAUAAGUGAUUUCAAGCCCCGUUUUUAAUGUUCUUUACGUUUUUAGAGUCCCGGUAACUUGAUUUAGCUUAUUCUAGUUAUAAUUUAACCUAUGGUUUAUAUUUGAAAAAAUAACUUUUGUUAAGCAAUUUUAACUGAAAACAAGUAAAACGACAUAAUCGGUAAAAAUACCUAAUAUUUAUAAGUAAGUGUUAGAGUGGGAAUUCGAUGUUGCCAUAGAAGGAAAAAAUGUUCAGUAUGUCAUAAUACAUAAGAAUAAGGGAUGAAGUUUAAUUUACGAGUUUUGGGGUAAAAGUGUAAAUAUGUAAAAUUUAGGAGAAAAUUGUAAUUUUUCCAAAGUUUGGGUCAAGGAAUAUUUUGAUAAAUGUGAGUAUUAAAUAAGUUAAAUGUGUUAUUAUAGGUCAAGAAAGAAGUGGAAUCGACCUUAAUCGGAGAAAAGAAAAGAUUAAAGACUAAAUUGCUAAAUUUUUAUAUUGUUGCACCAAAGCAAGUUCCCUGUAAAUAAUAACAAUAUAUUUUUAUAAAUUGUGAAUUAUAUUUGAUAUGUGAAUUAAUAUUGAAUGCGAAAGUAAAAUUGUUAAUGAAUCAUUCAAGUGAUAAAGUGUUUAAAAUAAAGUGUUAAGUGUAAAUUCUCGGUUAAACUUAGGAAUAGAAGUGGAUACAAGUGACAUAUCACUAGAGACCAGUGUUACAGUGUUACAGUGUUACAAUGAGUCAUAAGUGCUGGGUGAUCUAGCAUGUGUUGCAGAUACUUAACAGCUUGUGUGAGCAGGCCCGUGGACAUUUCUAGUGUUAUUGAUCAGUGGUAGCUUCGGCUACAUUUUAAUGGUAGCUAUGACUACAUAUCAAUGGUAGCUUCGGCUACAUUUCAGUGGUAGCUAUGACUACGUAUCAGUGGUAGCUUCAGCUACAUAUCAGUGUGGCACUUAUGUGCUAAUUAUCUACGUAUUCGUGUAUAUUCCGAGUGUUCAACGAGAAGUUGACUAAGUGAAAAUACAUGAGAUCAUGUAACGAUUAAGCGUAAUUGAAUGAUGAAUAUAUGUGUGAAAUUGAAUUGAAUAGUGAUCGAAAGUGAAAAAGUGAAAUUGUGAAAUAGUAGAAUUAGCAACAAAAUAGUUUUGGACAAAAACAGUUGUGUAACUUUGCCAUAAAUGGUCGAAAUCGAAUUAAGUGGAUAAGAUAUGAAAUGAAAGCUUAAUGAGUCUAUUUUUACAUAAAAAAAUAGAGCAAGCAAAAGAAUUAUAAAUUUUUAUACAUUUUAAGUUUAGUGAGACAGGGUCAAAAUGAGUUUGGAAUCCCCUAUUCUGACUUUGGAAAAUUGUUAAAAAUUUUAUAAAAAUAAUUACGGGCUAAAUUUUAUAUGUUUAAAACCUUGAAUGAGUCUAUUUUCAAUUUAAAUAAACAUAAGUACCAUCCGAACUCUGUACAGUGAGAUAAUUAAUUUUUAGUGAAGAGGUCAGAACUGUCGAGUAAUGAAAUAGGGGAAAAUUUAAAGAAUAAACUGUACUUAUUGGUUAAGCCAAAAAUUCUAAAAAUUUUAUGGUAAAAAGAUAUGUGAAUUCAGUUUCAGGUAAAAUUAACGGAUCUUAAUUUGGAGCUCUGUAGCUCCGAAUAAAAAUAAUUUAGUGACUCUGACUGGGAUAGACAACUUUGAAUAUAUAGUAAAAAUAUAGAAAAUGUUAUUUAUAAGAGUGUUAUGUACAUUAAGGAUGUGGAAUGAAGAGGAGGAGGAAAAAUAAAAUAUAUGAAUAAUUUGUAUAUAAAUUAGUCAUAUGCCGAUUAUAUUUGAUAAAUGUUGAAUUAGAAAUGACAAUGUUUCAUUUCAAUUAGUUAUUAUGAAUUGAAUUGUAAAUUUAUAUGGAUGAAACCAAACAAUUAUUUGUUAGUAUUAUGCAUGACAUAAUGUAUUAUUCUAUAUAUAUAUUCAUGGUUGAAUUAUGAUUGUUGAGAAAGAUAGAUAAAUUGGAAAGAAAAUUAAAAUUGAGUAGAACGCAGUGUUGAGUACUUUCGUUCAGUGAUAAAGACAAAUUGACGAAAAACACCAUGGAUGGACCAUGGCAAUAAGUGAUAUGUAAUUCUGUGUAAGACCAUAGUUGAGCUAUGUCAUCGGUAGAUGUUAUGUGAUUACGUGUAAGACCAUAAUUGGACUAUGGCAUCGAGAAAAUAAAGUACUCAAUUCCGUAAGACAUUCACUAAUUUGACAAAGUUGGUAAGUGUUACAUAGACUCACACUCAAGUGAUAGAUUUAUUGUGAUCGUUAAAGUUGAAUUCAAUUAAGUGAUUUCACCAAUUGGAUAUUGUAUAUGGCAAGAUGUGUUAGUGAAUUACAUAUUUAUGAAAUGAUAUUUGAAGUUCAAUAAGUGAUAUAUGAAAUUAAUAUAAAAAGAUUUAUGAUUGUUAUUAGUAUUGUUUCUGACUUAAUGUGAAUUCUUUGAUGUUGAAAUGAUUUAACGAAUUUAUUGAGCAUAUGAAUGAGUAUGAGACUCAUACGAGUUAGUAUAGAUAUGUACAUGUGUCUUAUAAGCUUUGAAAUGAUAAGACUUGUAAAUUGUGAAUUAAUCUGUGUGAAAGUAUAUGGGAUAGAUUAGCGAAUCUUUAUAAGAUAUUGAAUAUUUAAUAUAUUACAAUGGUUUAGUAGGAAAAAUAUGACGAUACGAGAAUAUGAAAUGAUACGGAUAAAUUCAGGUACUCGCGAGAAGUAAGUAAUAAUUGAUAAAUUCAUAUGAUGAGAAAGUAAAGGAUUAUAAGUUAAUAUAUGGCUAUGAAAUGAACAAAUGGUGAUAGCUAUAAGGCUUGAAUCGAAUGAGUAUAUAUAUUGGGCCUUGUAAGCCUUAAUUAGCGAUUCGAAGAUAAUAAUUUGAAAGUUUUAAUCUGUAUGAAAUUUUAUAACUCAGUUUAAUAAGUUUAUAAAUGUAUGUGUUUUGGUAAUGCCUCGUACCCUAUUUCGGCGUCAAAUACGGGUAAGGGGUGUUACAAUGUGACAUCGCUAGAUUCAGCCAUAACGUUUAGGCCAAGUUUGGGGUGUUACAAUUCCUAAUAAAUUUCAUCUCUAUCAAUUUUCAUAUUCAGGUGAACCUUAGUAUCAAUAAUCUUUGCCAUUGUAUCAUCAUUUCUUUCUUCCUCCAGCAACAUCUUAAGUUUCUUAGUAAGCUUUUUCUUUAACCCUUCUCGCUCUUUUUUAAUUGAUCUUGCCCAUUUCUUUAGAUUUGAUUGUAGCUUUUCCAGUUUCUCCAAUAUAGUACCUGUAGAUGAUUCUAAAGAUGCUUUAAUUUCUCCCUCAAGAGACUCUUUCAUGGUCCACCACACCUCAAAUUUAAACCAUGGACUCCCCACAUAAGUGUUUCCACUUUUUGUAUUAAGAAGAAUUGGACAAUGAUCAUGCAUCUAAUGAGUUAAGUGAUGAAAUUUUCCCGUUGGAAAAAGAUUCCUCCAUUUAUCAUUAGCCCUAUCCAGUCUUUCUCUGAUAUUUGUUUUUGGCAAAUCUCCCAUUUCCUAUGUAAACCAAAACCAUGUAUAUCUUAAAUCUUCUAAUUGACAUUCUUCUAGGGUCUCUCGAAAUGCCUCUAUUCGUCUUUCAUCUCUUGGUAACCCUCCACUUUUCUCAAAAGAAUACAUAAUUUCAUUAAAAUCCCCACUUACAAACCAUGGGUACCUCUUAUCUUGUCCUAAUUUUCGUAGUAGAUUCCAAGAAGCAUUCUUAUUACUAACAUAAGGAGAGCCAUAAAAUCCUAUAAGUCUCCACUCUCUAUUACCAUUCUCCUCCAUAACCAUUGCAUCAAUGUGAUUCCUGGAGAAACUUCUUAAAGUAACUGUGAUCUUUCCUUUUCAUGCUAAACAUAAACCACCUCGGGAACCUUCUACGUCAACAUCAAUCCCAUUCUGAAAACCACUUCUUUUGACCUUUUCCAUACAUUGGUUAUUUAUUUUUGUCUCCAUUAAAAAGACCAUCUGGGGAUUAUGCUACUUUAAAAAGUAUCGCAGCCUUCUAGCUAUCCGUGGACUCCCCAAUCCACGAACGUUCCAACUAAUGCUUUUUAUUGCGUUUGAUCGGCUUGUCUCUUGGCAGCAGUCGAUCCUAUAAAUAGUUGAACAUCACUCUGCUCCAUAGCAUUAAUCAUUGUUUCUGAUAACAUUUCUCCACAUACCUUUUCUCCAUCUUUUUUCAGCCUUUUAGUUCUGUCUUCAUACGCAGCUUCUACACUACAAAUCUCAAAUUCGUCUUCACAAGCUUUCCUCUUCCUAGUACAACUUUCAUCCUUUAGCUGAGUCAUCAUUUGUACUGGAGCAAUUCUUUUCCAACUUUCCUUUUUAGCUGAGUCAUCAUAGAUACUUCCUCAUGUUUCUUCAUCAUCUUCUCUUCACCACUCGAUUGUAGUCUCUCGAGCAUCAUCCCCUUCAAACUAUUCACUUCUCCAGUUAUUUUAACUUUGAUCGCCUCCACCUCAAAACCACCUAUAUAAGAGCAUUGAGCCUUAACCUUUUUUGAAAAAUCAUUAAAUUUAAUACUUUCCUUCCCGAUUAAGUUUGAUUCUGCUUUUAGUGCUAGUACGUAUGGUGGAUCCUCUCUGAUUUUAAUUUUUUCUACAGGAUUCAACUCACUAAAAUCUAAAAGGCCAUGCCCCACCCUUCCACAUCCAAAGCAAAACAUUGGUAAUUUCUCAUACUUAAAAGAAAUCCACCAUUUAUUCAUAUUAUCCAUUGAGACAAAAAUACCUCGUCGAAGGGGUUUCUACAUAUUAAGGUUUAUUUUAAGGCGACACCAUUCUCCACUAAUUUCAAAUCUAAGCACCCCUCCAAAAGUGACACCUAUGGCGUGUAAUAGAUCUUUUUCUUAUCAAAUUCUGGUAAACAUGGACCUAUCUUUAACCAAAAUGUUGAUGAGUUAAGUCGAAUUUGAGAUCUUUCAACCAAUUGAAUUAACCUAUUAAAUAAAAUAAGAAUUUUUCGGAACAGCCAUGGUCUUCCCUUCAUAAUUAGCUCCAAAUCUUCUUCUAACUCAAACACGAUCAAAAAUAAAUUUUGCCCUGCCGUCUGAAUCUCAAACUUCUUUUUUGUUUUCCUUAUGCUCUUCAUCUGUGCCGUAAAACUCUCCAGGUUGUAAAGCUUCUAUGUCCAAAUUGUACAAAUCAAAGUUGGUUUCACACUCGGAACCACCUUCGACCCUUUGAUAGAUAGUUGAAUAAGUUCUUCUGUUAGGAGGGAAAUCUCAUCCCUCUUCUCUCUACCGUCACCACCACUUUCCCCCAUCCCAAGCCGCAGCAGUUACUGCCUUCUCUAGGACUCUCGGUAAAGUACUCUUGGUUUUUUUUAGAAAAGGAAGAAAAGUAUCAAUAUUUUAAUUAUAUAAAUAUAAGUGCAUGUUUAAAUUAUGUGUAGCUUCAUUUAUUCCUUCAAAUAUUAAUGUGUCACAAUCCACUCUUAUAUAUCUAAUAUAUGUAAUUUAAAUUAAGUUUUAAUUAGGUUCUAUUUAUUAUUAAGUUUAUAUAUGAUAUUAAUUAUUAUAAAACAAAUUUUCAUUGUCAAAAGGAGAUGCUAUUAUAAUAUUUUCUAACAAAUAUAUUUAAGUGGUGCUUGUUUUAAACCUAUCCAUGAGUUGGGUGGUUGGCCUAGUUUAACUUGAGCGGGUUUGGGCAUAGAUUUUAUCCCCUCAAGCCGGGUUGGUCCACCCCAAUUUAAAAUUAAAUGUUUUUAUUUUAAAUUUUUUAUAAUAUAUAAAUAUUAAUUUAACAUAAUAUAUUUUUAUUAUUUUAUUAUUUUUUUAAAUAGCGAUAUGGGCAAGUUGAGUCAGUCAGGGCUCGAGUCCGAGUAUGAAUUUUUUUAAAAAAAAUUUUGAGCCAUGGCUCAGCCCGACCCAUGAAUAUGUCUAAACUUGUUUCACUAAGAACUAGUUUUACAUAAUGAUUUUAGGAAAAUAUGGUAAACAAUUAAAAAUAUUUUACCCAAAAUAUUUUAAACACCAAAAAAUAUCAAAUUUUUCAGAAAAUUAAUCCAUCUUUCAAAAGUUAUUUUCGGAAAGCUGUUUUUAAUUUUUUUUAAAUAGAAAUAUUUAUUAAAUACAAAUGUAAAACAUAAAUAUAUUUGGAGUAAGUAUUGGGAGAGCAUAAUUUUCCACUAUCAUCAUACACAUCCUUGUUUUCUUUUCUUCUGCCGCACAGCAGGUUGACAGUCCACCACCACUUCUUAUAAUAAUCAGAAAUUUUGAUUGUUUUUCCUAUUCAACUUAUAUAACUGAAUAUCAAAUCCUGAUUCUAACUUAGUAGCUCUAUCUCGUAUUCGCAAUCAUAGUGGAUAGAGAUAUUGUUAUUAGAGUAGGGAGGAAAACGGCAUGAGCAGAACAAGAUAUGGACAUGAUAAACUACAUUGAACUUGGAAAUUAAUACAAUACAUGACAGCAUUUUGAAGUUCUAACAAUAUUAACUUCAUGCUAAGAUAAGGGAGAAGAGUGGAAGAAGAGGCAGAUGGCUGAAAUAUCAUCCAUUGCAAUGUCCUUCCUCUUCUUUUUCCAAGCCCGGACUGCAUACUCCACUAGCUGCUUAGCUGCUUUCUGCUUGUCCGGUGUCGAAGAUACUAUUUGAACUGCUUCCUGAUUGGAUACAACAUCCCAUACCUGCAGAACAAAGCUUUAGUCACAGAUCAACAGCAUUGCCAUUUUAUCAACUUUGAUCAAACCCUUAGUUAUAUAUGCAUACCCCGUCGGUAGCCAGCACCACGAAUUGGUCUCUGCAGGUUAUAUGUCUUUGUGUGACUUCUGGAACCGAAAUAAGACCGUAAUCUUUUAUGCAGUAGUCCCCGAAAGCUCUCGACAUCGCCAGCCCUGGUGACUCCUCAUCAGGUAGCCAAACCCUGUGCACCCCUGGCUCAUCAUGCAGGCAGAAAACUCGACCUUUGCACUGAACUAUUCGCUCGGCCUCCUCUGCAAGCAACAUCAACCGAAAACAUAAGGAUUCUUAAUGGCUUCUCUUUCCAACAGUUUUAGAGAGUGUGGCGAGAACUCACAAGGUAAAUUCGGCUUGAAAUCGACGGUAAGCUGAACAGGAACCAAGUUUCCAUCAUCUGAUGUUGUAGCCAGAACAGCCCGAGAAUCACCAAUGUUGGCUACAUAUAUGAGGUCACCCUGUCCAAUAUAAAUGUCAAAUUAUUCUCAAAUAUCAUGAUAGUUGAAGCAAAUACCCAGAGUAUGCCAUAAUAAGAGCUUAGUUUACCUGUCUGACAAUUGUUAAGGCAGUUGUUCCACUGUAAAAGGAAUCGAUCUUCCUAUGCUGCUCCAGCUCGUGAUCAACUGCUGCACAAGUCCUCAGAUAAGAAUGCUUCCAUAUAUGAAACCUCUGAUGCUUUUUAUCAGACUCUAAAUCGAUCUCCGGGUCGAGGGAUGCCUGAGCUAGAGUUUCUUGCCAAUUGCAAAGCAGCGAUGAAGGCAUUGAUUCUCGAACCUUUUUGGCUACAAAAUGACCCCAUGGACCAUGCCCAUCAAAUAUGCCGCAAAACAACAUGUCUGCUUGACAUCCAAAUUCCUAUUCCGAGUAAACAAAAGCCACAUUUAUGAAUCAUAAAAGGGAGUCAAUUUACAAGGUAUACAAAGUAAACACUCAAUGUUUUAUACCUCCCAUACAAUGGCACAAUCCUGGUUCACUCCUUUCCUGCCUCUCUUGGAGAAAACUGAGGCCAAAUUGUUGGAACCAUCGACAUUUACAGAACCAGAAGACCUCAAAAUCAGGUCAUUUUUCUUUGCAUCCUUUGCCAUUGCCUCAGCAGCUUCUUUUCCAUCACCAUUCCCUGAAUUUUUCCCUCUUAUUGACCUUGCUAACCCAUUGAACAUGGAAGAAAAUUGCCUCAUUGUCUCUACCAUUCAAUACCCACUACCAAAAACAGAAAAAAAGAGCCUGCUUUCCUUAUUGUAGAUCCAAAGUCUGCCCACAGAAAACAAAUAAAUAGUGACAUAAAGUUACAGACAAGUAAAAGAAGCCUUGGGAAUACUUUCUUUUUCUAGUUUUUGUUUGCUUUAAACCCUUGCUCCAGACAUAGUAGGUAGAAGGUUAAAAGAACAUUGAACUUGAGUAAUACAGUUAGCCAAGAAAAGACAUAAUCCGACUCAGAAAGGUAGGAAUCUAACAAUUUAAUAACAGUAAAAAAAUUAGAACCUGUUGUUAAUGUGAAACACUUUACAGAGAAUAUUCAUCAUGACAUGGAACUCUAAUAGAAAUUUGAAAGAGGCUAAACAAGUGCCGGCUAGUAAAUAGAUAAACUCAAUACUUGAGGCUUAGCUGGCUAUACCCCAUCAAAAGGUCUGUUUGGUUGCUGAGAGAGGAUAAUGGGAACAAAAGGGCAAACCAGAAAUUGCAAAGUUGUAGUAUGUUCAAGGACAGGUGAGUGGCCACUUGAAAAGUAAAAAAAAAAAGGGAAAUCUAGAGUUCACUAGAACAUCAAGUUAGUUGAAAUUUCCCUUUAUGGUAAAGGCAAAAACUAAAAGGAAGAGCUUUCUGUUUUUCCUUAGAUAAUAUGAUAUAUUUUCGAUUUUCCAGAAAAUCAAAGAAAAAUAAAAUUUAACGUGCAAAGUUACUGGAGUAACACGACUUUAAAAUUUGCACAUUAAAUCGUAGUACUAGUUUUUCUCUGAUGAUACCUAUAAAUUAAUGUCGAGUACUAAGAUUUGAUAAUAGUUUCCUUCUCUCUCUCUCUCUCACAAAUCCAGAAACCAGGCUUUUCUUUCACUUUCUCAGCAAUCAAACAAGCCAGUCCAACCAGACAGAAAAAAUGCAGCAAGAUCAAACCCAGAAAAAUGGAAAAGAGAAGCUGUAAUUAGACUGGGAAGCUAAUGCAAGCAACCAGAAUGUGAUAACUUGAUCUUUACGAGAAAAGCUAAGAAACUGAGAGGUAGAAGAUGGAGAAGGAUGAGAAAAGAUGGGCAUACUUAAAAAGAAAGAAAAAUUCCUUCGUUUGGUUCUGGAUUUUUAAGCUCCAAUUCUUAUCUGUGAAGAAGAAUAAAGAAACAAAAGAAGCAGCAAGCUUUGUAGAUGCAAAGUAGCAAGCACAAGCACUUCCAUUUUUCUGUUCUAAGAACGUUAAAGUUAAAAACCCAGACUUCCUUCUUUGCCUUCCUUAUCCGACAACAUUUUUUUUGCCCUGCCCUUUUUCGUUAAACCUUUUAUAAGCUCCUUUAGCUUUCUUUUGGUUUCCCUUUUUAUAAUAUGAGGUUUGAAUUUGGUUUAUUUAGAUACAGCUCAUGAUUUGGUGUGUUUUAUAAUUUAUUCACAUGCAAUUCAAGCAUUAAUUUUUGAAUAAAAAGAUUACUAGAAUUUAAUUGUAGAUUCUUGUGGAGUUUAAUAAUACUUUAUUAUAUAUAUAUAUAUUAUAAAAAUUGGAGGAAACAUGAGAAUGACAAAUUUUGAAUUUUGGUGUUGCUCUCUACAACAUUAAUCACAUCUUGUAUCAUUUCAGUAGCAUAAAUAUGAUCAUUAAAAUUUAGGGUAAACUAUAAAAAUAGUCACUUAUAUUUGAAAUGUUACGUUUUAGUCAUUUACAUUAUCGUUCUGUUACGAAGUGGUCACUCUACCGUUAAAUUCCGUUACCUCCCUAAUGGCAAUCCUACAUGGCAGUCCAAAUGAGUUUUAAAUGCCAACUUGGAUGUCUAGUUUUUCGGAUAAAAAUAGGUUUUUAAUUAAAUAAAUUUAAUUUGGACAGCCAUGUAGGACAUUCAAGUUGGCAUUUAAAAUCUACUUGGGCUGCCAUGUAGGACCACCGUUAUGGAGGUAACGGUAAAGUGACCACUUCGUAACAAAACGAUAGUGUAAGUGACUAAAACAUAACAUUUUAAAUAUAAGUGACUAAAAUGUAAUAUGAGACAAACAAAAUUAACUAUUUUUAUAGUUUACCUUAACUUAAAACUAUUGUAUUUCUUUUAACAAUAACAAUAAGCAUCUAAUGAUCUUAUUGCUAGUGCAACCUCGACUUGAAGAAGGGGGGACGUUAGAAAUUUUGAAUUUUAUUAUAUAUCAAUUUGAUUUAAAUUUAUUUUCAAUUGAAUUAAUUAUUAAUUCAACAUUUAUAAUGAUUGAUUGAGUAUAGGUAUAAUCUUCAAUUUUUAAUCUUGAAUGUUUAUGUUUUUUUUUUUCAAUUUAAUCUUUAUUUUUUAGUUAAAUUUGGUUCUCAAUCUUUUAAAAAAUGUCGAAUUUGACUAUCAACUUUUCAAAAAAAAAGUUAAUUUGUUGUUUUUAACGAAAAUACUGACUAAAAAAUAAAUUUUUUAAAUAUGGUAGCUUGAAUGACAAUUCACUUAUAUUUCAUGUUAAUUUUAUUUUUAAUUUUAUGAACUUUUAAUAUUUUGAUUUUUUUAAAAAUUAUUUGUUGACAAUGGCAUAUACGAGAAAUAGUACCAUGACAACAUGAAAGUACAUAUGGAUUGCCAUGCAAGUUGUCACACCAAUAUUAUUAAAAAAAAUUAAUAUUUUAGUCAGCAUUUCAGUUAAAAAGAGCAAUCUAACUUUUUUUCUGAAAAGUUGAGGGUUAAAUUUGGCGGAAAAAAAAAAGAAAAACAACCAAAUUGACAAAAGAUGUAAACAUUGAGAGCUAAAUUUAACAUUGAGUAUAAUUAUAAGUUGUAAGUAAGUUAGAAAGAUUAAUUAUGAAAAAUAAAAGGGAUAAAUACCAGAACUAUAUAUGAACUAUGGUUUAAUGUGUAAUAGUAUACAUGAAUUUUGAUUUUGUGUAAUUUUAUAUAUAAAAUUUUGAUUUGAAUUCUUGUAAAUUAUUGAUAUAAUAUUAUUUUGUGUUUAUUAGGAUUUUAUGUGUAUAAUUAUACCAAAUUAAUUGAUAAAUGGGGCAAACAUAGUGCAGCAACAAAAACAGCUAAUCUUUGGCCAACACUUGAUGUUAAGUAAUAAUUUCCCGAAAGCAAUUGGUUUGUCUUUAAUGUAUGAUGUUAGUCAAUGUUCUCCAACUCCAUAGGAACUUUCAUUUUCAUACCACCUUACCAAUUUCCAAAUGAACUAAUAUGGAAAAUAAUUGCAAUUAACAAACGACAUCGAUGCAUGAAUGUAUCAUAAAAUUAGAUAUUAAGCAGCAUCAUAGUAAAAAUAUAAUAUCAACAUGAUAAAUUACAGAACCAACAUAACACUACAUCAUAAGAAUGACAUAAAUACAACAUGCAUGCACAUAACAUGCAUAAAAUGAACAAACACCACUAUAUGCAAAAAGAAAUUAACACAAUACAAUAGGAGUACAUAAAUGUAACCAAUUCAAUAUAAAUAAAUUGUUAUCCUGUAAAUCUUCAAUAACUUUUUAAUAUUUUAAAUUAAAAAUCAAAUUUUUCUACCUUAAGAUUUUAAUUUACUAUAAUUACCUUCUUAAAAAUUAGCCUUGCUCAAUUUCCAAUUAACCUAUCCUAAGCAUUGGGAUAGCUUUUAUAGAUUCUUACAGGUUUUUGUUUGCCUGACUUUGGCAUUUGUUGCAUUUGCAGCUGAUGACUCAAAAGCAAAGUUGAUCUUUAAUUAACCAAAUCUUAGGUACAGUCUCAAUCAUGCAAAAUCUCAAUGUCCAAUAUAAUAUCAUACUUCACAUUUGACUGAAAGAUUCGCAUAAAUUCCCAUGCUAAAGCUCAAUAUAAUAAAUGUUCAUAUGUUAUUAUUAGUUUUUGUAUAUUUUGAAUUUUAAAAUUUUAAUCUUAACUCAAAUGAUAGAUACGUAGUAGAUAAAUUCAUUAGAUCAAAUUAUGUACAAUACAUAAGUUAUGGAUUUUGUCCAUAUUUUUCAAUUUGAUCAUUACUAGUUCUUAUACAUUUUAAAUUUUAAAUUUUCAAUCUUACAUGUAACACCUCAUACCCGACCCGAUCACCAGGUCCGAAUUACAAGGUAUCACAUUGGUUGUCGGAGCAACUAUGAUCAAGUCACAGUUCAGUUUACAACAUUAAACAUCCAGAUAUAAGUCAAACAUGUGUAUAAAACGAUUCGUAUUCAUUCUCGGGUCUUAUACGAGGUCGAAUAUAUAUGGCUAGAAUUAUGGUAUUUCCAUCAAUAAUUUGUUUAUUGUUGAAUUAUAUGUAGUUACAAGAUGUGGAGGUGAGAGAAAGCGCAUGGUUUUUAAGACAACUGCUCGUCCGGACUGAAGAGGCUGAAGAUUGGUCACUUUGUUUGGGACCCCUUCCACAGUAAAGUCCAUCCAUGUCGGUAACAUGCACCUCUCCCUCAUGGGAAACCUCUAAAUAAUUGAGUUUUUGUGUUAUUAUUUCACAUGUGUCUCAUCUCGUGUUGGAAUAAUUGUUUUUUUAUUGGGUGAUGUAGCAGAGUACACUUCAACAUACCCGCGUGUGUCAUGUAAAAUUAAAAAACACUUUUAUUUUGAAAUGAUUUGAUAAAAACAUCUAAUUUUAAAGAUUAAAAAAGAUAAAAAGUUAAAUAAAUUAUUAAAAUAUUUUUUUUAUAAAAUUAAAUGUGUAAAAGUUAUUUUAUAUUGGUUUUAAAUCAGUUUUACGGAUUUCAUUUAGAGGUGAUCAUGGGCCGGGACGGGCCUAGACAAAAUUUUAGGCCCGAGCUCGGCCCGAAAUAUGAGCCUAAAAAUUUAUCUAAGCCCGGCCCAAAGAAAAUUGCUAAACCCGAGCUCGGCCCGACCUGACCCAUAUUAAAUUUUACAACACAAAAAAAGUAUAUAUAUUUGAUUAAAAAUAAAAAAUAUAUAUUUAAUAUAUAAUUCGGGCCGGACCUGGCCAAAAAAUUUUUACUCGAGGCCUGAAAAUGGGCCUCGUUUUUUGCCCAAACCCAUAUUUCGGGCCUAUAUUUUUACCGGAACCCUCCUAUUUUUCAGGCUGACCGCCGGGCCAGGCCGGAUAGCCCAACCCAUGAUCACCUGUAGUUUCAUUCGGGACCAAUUCCUAAUUUUUUUUUUUUUGUUUUUUAAGGAAAUUUAUUUAUUUAUUUUAUUAUGAAUUUAUGAUGUAAAAGUUAAAGAGUAUACAUACCGUUUAUGGAAAUAUUGAAAAGCAAAUAAUGAUUGACAGUUGCCCCACUCCUAAUAUUUUUAAGUUAAAGCAUCAAUAAUUGAUAAUCUAUAUAACCUCUUUUUUGCAUUUUAUAAAAAUUGUUAAAUAUCAGAUUUGGUCCCUCUAAUAUGCCUAGUUUUGAUAUUUAAUAUAUAUACUUUACUUUUUACCAUAAUUUAGUCUCUAUAUGUUUAGAAUGUUUUUAAUUAAUCCAAAUAGUUAGUAUCGUUAACUCUUCGGUUAAAACAUUACGUGGUUAUAUAUAAUUUGAAUACCCUAAGAGCCCUUAAGACUAACACAUGACUUCUCAUUUCUUUUAGAUUUGACUAUUUUUGACAAUAUAAGACAAUGAUCAAAUUUUAUUUUUGGCCUCUAGAUUAUGCUGAAACUUGAGAACUAAUUUAUAUACUUCAAUUUUUAACAUAAUUUGGUUUAUCUACUUUUAUAAUAUCAUUAUGUUAGUUUGAAUAGUUAAUCUUCUUAAUUAUUUCAAUCAAAAUGCUGAAGUCAUUUUUUCUCAAGAACACUAUUCUAAUAGAAAAAAAAUAUUUUAUCGUGACAAUUUUGAACGAGUGUUUUUUAGAAAAAAAAUCAUAAUAUUAUUUUCAAUGAUAUUUUUAUUGUUAUAUGACUAUCAAGAGAAUAUUUUUAAAAAAAUCAAAAUUCCACACCAAAAAGUGUAAUAAAAGAAUUUUAACGAUAAUAAACUACAUUGUAAAAAAAUUGAGGUACCAAGUUAUGUCAGAAAGUUGAAGUAUAAAGAUUGAAUAUUAAAUUCAAGUGUAGCACAAGGAUCAAAAUUGAAAUUUGACCAUUUUUCUAUAUAAUGCAAAAAAUUGACACAAACAAAUAAUCAACCUCUCAUUUUUUUGUGUUAUACGAGAAAAAGGUAAAUUUUCAAUUUUAGUCCCUAUGUUACACUCAAAUUUUAGAUUAUAUAAAAACGAUCAAAUUUCAAUGUUGAUCCCUGUGCUACACUCAAUCUUUGUACUUCAGUUUUUUUUUUACAUAAUUUGGUACCUCAAUUUUUACAAUAUUAUUCAUUAUCUCAAAUACUUUUCUUUGAUUAAAAUGUCAUGUAACUUUUAAGAGUUAUUUAAAUUAUUUGUUAAAUUCAAAUUCAUUGCAAUACCCUUUUUUUUUUUUCACAUGGCUACUAAUUGAGUUUUUUUUUUUUAAAUAUCAAAAUGUCACACCAAUGAAUUUAAUAGAACAAUUUAAUGGUGUUAAUAAUUGAAUUUGAAUUUUAUUUAUAUUCACAUUUAAUUUUUAAUAUAUACACAUAAUUCUUAAUUAUGAAAAUCAUAAUUUUAUUAAAAUUAGUAACUACACAAAAUUCUAUUUAAUUCUUAUACCACAUUUACUUAAUAAAUAAGAAAUUCAUUACCAUAUGUAUUACAACUAUUUUCUUUUAAAAAUUCCUUUCUUACAACUAUUUUAAUAUUGACAACUUUAUAAAUACAAAGUUUUUUACACAAAAUGUGAAAUAUUACACAAUUAUUGUUAUGCUAAUAUUGCUAUAAAUGAUAUUAUGUCAUUUUAAUUAAAGAAAACACACGUUUUCAAGAUUAUACACAUGUUAAUUAAUUAUUAGCUUCCUUUUUAAAAUAAGACUUACAACAAUAUUUUCAAAUCGUUUGUUCAAAUAUAGAUUUUUUUAAAAAAAUCAGUUUUCAGAAAAGAUAUAGAAAAGUAUUGGGUCUAUUAUUCCAGCACGUUUGUGUCUGCUUUGCGAGCACGCUUAGGUCCUUUUUCUUUGGUUUUCUUAUUUCAUUUUUCUUCUUUCUCCUUUUGGCAACGAUUAUUGUUCUAGUUGGUGGAGUGGAUUAAUGUUUAUUUGAUCUACAACUAUGGAGAAUGAGUUGG
rnacentral:lncRNA from 1 species